rnacentral:rRNA from 1 species
GGAAUAUUGGUCAAUGGACGCAAGUCUGAACCAGCCAUGCCGCGUGCAGGAAGAAUGCCCUAUGGGUUGUAAACUGCUUUUAUUUAGGAAGAAACCCCCGAACGUGUUCGGGGCUGACGGUACUAAACGAAUAAGGACCGGCUAACUCCGUGCCAGCAGCCGCGGUAAUACGGAGGGUCCAAGCGUUAUCCGGAAUCAUUGGGUUUAAAGGGUCCGCAGGCGGGCUAAUAAGUCAGUGGUGAAAUCUCUCAGCUUAACUGGGAAACUGCCAUUGAUACUGUUAGUCUUGAAUUCGGUCGAAGUAGGCGGAAUGUGUCAUGUAGCGGUGAAAUGCAUAGAUAUGACACAGAACACCGAUAGCGAAGGCAGCUUACUAGGCCUGAAUUGACGCUCAUGGACGAAAGCGUGGGGAGCAAACAGGAUUAGAUACCCUGGUAGUCC